UACGAAGGGGACUAGCGUUGUUCGGAAUUACUGGGCGUAAAGGGCGCGUAGGCGGUGUGUCAAGUCAGGCGUGAAAGCCCCGGGCUCAACCUGGGAACCGCGCUUGAGACUGGCACGCUCGAGUUCGGGAGAGGAUGGUGGAAUUCCCGAGUGUAGAGGUGAAAUUCGUAGAUAUUGGGAAGAACACCGAUGGCGAAGGCAGCCAUCUGGACCGACACUGACGCUGAGGCGCGAAAGCGUGGGGAGCAAACAGG
rnacentral:rRNA from 1 species